rnacentral:rRNA from 1 species
GGGCCCGCACAAGCAGAGGAGCAUGUGGCUUAAUUCGAUGCAACGCGAAGAACCUUACCCGGGUUUGACAUGCAGCUGCACGGCCUAUGAAAGUAGGCCUCCUUCGAGGGUGCUGCACAGGUGCUGCAUGGCUGUCGUCAGUUCGUGCCGUGAGGUGUUUGGUUAAGUCCAGCAACGAACGCAACCCCUGUGUCCAGUUGCCAGCGCGUAACGGCGGGAACUCUGGACAGACUGCCCGUUCACACGGGAGGAAGGUGGGGACGACGUCAAGUCAGUAUGGCCCUUACAUCCGGGGCUGCACACGUGCUACAAUGGCCGGCACAAAGGGAAGCGAGGCCGCGAGGCGGAGCCAACCCCCAAAACCGGCCCCAGUUCAGAUCGGGGUCUGCAACCCGACCCCGUGAAGUCGGAUUUGCUAGUAACGGCGCAUCAGCUACGGCGCCGUGAAUACGUUCCCGGGCCUU